UACGGGGGGGGCAAGCGUUGUUCGGAAUUACUGGGCGUAAAGGGCGCGUAGGCGGCCUGCUAAGUCGGACGUGAAAUCCCUCGGCUCAACCGGGGAACUGCGUCCGAUACUGGCGAGGCUUGAAUCCGGGAGAGGGAUGUGGAAUUCCAGGUGUAGCGGUGGAAUGCGUAGAUAUCGGGAGGAACACCAGUGGCGAAGGCGGUUGCCUGGAGCUUUGCUGACGCUGAGGCGCGAAAGCGUGGGGAGCGAUCCGG
rnacentral:rRNA from 1 species